rnacentral:rRNA from 1 species
ACAUGCAAGUCGUGCGGACCUUUUAAAAGCUUGCUUUUAACAAGGCUAGCGGCGGACGGGUGAGUAACACGUGGGCAACCUGCCUGUAAGACCGGGAUAACGCCGGGAAACCGGGGCUAAUACCGGAUAGUUUUUUCCUCCGCAUGGAGGAAAAAGGAAAGGCGGCUUCGGCUGCCACUUACAGAUGGGCCCGCGGCGCAUUAGCUAGUUGGUGGGGUAACGGCCCACCAAGGCAACGAUGCGUAGCCGACCUGAGAGGGUGAUCGGCCACAUUGGGACUGAGACACGGCCCAAACUCCUACGGGAGGCAGCAGUAGGGAAUCUUCCGCAAUGGACGAAAGUCUGACGGAGCAACGCCGCGUGAGUGAAGAAGGCCUUCGGGUCGUAAAACUCUGUUGCCGGGGAAGAACAAGUGCCGUUCGAACAGGGCGGCGCCUUGACGGUACCCGGCCAGAAAGCCACGGCUAACUAC